CCCAGGACUUCACCCUGGGCUGGAAUAUGCCGCCCCUUCGGGGCU
rnacentral:sRNA from 1 species